CUCGGACUGAAACUCUAUGGCAUCACAUUUGCUUUGAUAAAAAAAAAAUAAGAAAGAAAAUUCAAAGUACACAGCAGUGUUUUUCCUCACUAGAUUUUACUGUUGAAUAAAGCUUAAUGUUGAAGUCCAUAUCGAUGCAGCCAUGUGAUGGGGGGUGGGGUGAUUUCAAUGAAUUGUGCAUGGAAAAAACAUUCCGUUUUAGAACUCAAAGAUCACUGGAAUGGGGAGCACACAGAAUCAGAACCAUUCGAACAGCCCUGGAGUUCUAGAACACAGAACCAUUCAAACAAGGCUGGAGUUCUAGAACACAGAACCAUUGAAAUAGCCCUAGAGUUUAGAACACAGAACCAUUCAAACAGCACUCGAGUUCUAAAACACAGAACCAUUCAGACAGCCCUGGAGUUUUAUAACACAGAACCAUUCAGACAGCCCUGGAGUUCUAGAACACAGAACCAUUCAGACAGCCCUUGAGUUCUAGAACACAGAACCAUUCAGACAGCCCUGGAGUUCUAGAACACAGAACCAUUCAAACAGCCCUUGAGUUCUAGAACACAAAACCAUUCAGACAAACCCUGGAAUUCUUAAAAUGCAUAACCUAAAUAUCCCUUAUAGGGGUAAAAUGUAAUGUAAUGUAAAUGUAAAAGUCAACCCACCCACUCCUGUGACUGCUUGCCUUAAAGUCUGUCAUACUUAAUUACCCCCCCAUAGAUCAGCUCUUCCUGUGAACUGUGUGAGGUCCUCUACAUGUGUAUCUUUAUGUGUCCACACUGUAGUUCUUGGCCUUGUGUUAUUUUCUGCUAUUGGUCGAAGUCUGGUUAUUAAUACAGGUCCAACCAGUGCUGGGGUUUCUAUGGCUUUAUUUGCUGAGUACCAAAAGUAGCAGCUAAAGUAGAGUGGUGGUUCUACAACUGGGUCUAUCCACGGGGUUACUGGGUCGAUCCACAGGUGUACUGGGUCGAUCCACAGGGUUACUGGGUCUAUCCACAGGGGUACUGGGUCUAUCCACAGGGGUACUGGGUCUAUCUACAGGGGUACUGGGUCUAUCCACAGGGUUACUGGGUCUAUCCACAUGGGUACUGGGUCGAUCCACAGGGGUACUGGGUCGAUCCACUGGGUACUGGGUCUAUCCACAGGGGUACUGGGUCUAUCCACAGGGGUACUGGGUCUAUCCACAGGGGUACUGGGUCGAUCCACAGGGGUACUGGGUCGAUCCACUGGGUACUGGGUCGAUCCACAGGGGUACUGGGUCUAUCCACAGGGGUACUGGGUCUAUCUACAGGGGUACUGGGUCUAUCUACAGGGGUACUGGGUCUAUCCACAGGGGUACUGGGUCUAUCCACUACGGGCAGAGAAACAUGUACUUGGUACAGUAACCAGGGGUACUACGGGCAGAGAAACAUGUACUUGGUACAGUAACCAGGGGUACUACGGGCAGAGCAACAUGUACUUGGUACAGUAACCGAUAAAGGUUAAGGACAACUGGAGUAUAGAAGGGUUCUCUAAGCAGAACCUUAAGAUUCUAGAGCAUAACACAUUUCCUUUGUAGGAGAUUAUAUAAGGAGUAUUUUUCUGUCAUUAUGUGACCAUCAUAACUGUAGCAUGUUUUAAUUUCCUCUGUUCUACAAAAAAAGACAAAGCACAUCGGAGGCAUUCACAAAAAAACGUAUGCCCUCUUGCCGUGUUAAAUGUUCUUUUUAAUAUCAUCAUCUAUACACAUUAUAUUACAGUAUUAACAACGUUCUCUUGUGGUUUCUACCCAUUGGGUAGGAUAUGUGCAUAAUAUAUUAAAGACACAUACAGCACCGUACAAAGAAACAGAGUCAGACCACUGAAGAAAGCACCAUCAGUAGAGGCACAACAAAGGUGGGGCGUAGAGUGGGUUUCUAUGCCUGCUCAACCACACAACCAUUAGGCACCGAAUUUGCUCACGUAAUUGUAACAUGCAAACCUCCUUAAAACUGAAAAAUAUAUAAAAAAUAAAAUGUUAUCCGUUCUAACUUCUAACUACAAGAGCAAAAAGCUACAAGCAAAAAAAGGAACAUAAAAAAAAAAAAAAAGAGCACAAACAUCUAAUUUCUAAAGUAUCCAAGAAAAGGUUUUAGCGAAUACCAAGACACGGCCCUGCUACACUAAAGCCAUCAGACAUCAGUUAUUAGCCAUCAACCAUUAGCCAUUAGCCAUCAGCCAUUAGCCAUCAACCAUUAGCCAUCAGCCAUUAGCCAUUAGCCAUCAACCAUUAGCCAUUAGCCAUCAACCAUUAGCCAUCAGCCAUUAGCCAUUAGCCAUCAGCCAUUGAGGGAACGCUUGCUUUGAAAUCAACGAAAGCUGCUUCACUGCUGUGUUGUGCUCGCAUUGCACCCUGUCCAACAGCAGCGUCCAAGCUCAAGAAUCGCAGAGGUUCAAUUCUCGAUGGCUGACCUGCGUGUUAAUUAUAUUUUGUGAAUAUAAAAUAUGAGAAAAAUAAGUUGCUGUUGGUUGGUUUCUGGUGUAAAAGGUCACAUUGACACAAUGCUGAUGGCCACACAUGUACUGUAGCUGGCUUGUUAUACGGAGGAGUUGACAUAUAUAGGAACAGUUGAAAGCAGUAGUAGUAGUACUACUAGUAGUAGUAGUAGUAGCAGUAGUAGUAGCAGUAGUAGUAGCAGCAACAGUAGUAGUAGUAGUAGUAGUAGUAGUAGUAGCAGCAACAGUAGUACUAGUAGAAGUAGUAGCAGCAACAGCAGUAGUAGUAGCAGUAGUAGCAGCAACAGCAGUAGUAGUAGCAGUAGUAGUAGUAGCAGCAACAGUAGUAGUAGUAAUAGUAGUAGUAGGAGUAGCAGCAACAGCAGUAGUAGUAGCAGUAGUAGUAGUAGUAGUAGUAGCAGUAGCAGCAGCAGCAGUAGCAGUAGCAGCAGCAGCAGCAGUAGUAGUAGAACAGCAGUAGUAGUAUUAGCAGUAGCAGCAGCAGCAGUAGUAGUAGUAGCAGUAGCAGCAGUAGUAGUAGUAGUAGUAGUAGUGGUAGCGGUAGCGGUGUUGGUAGCAGCAGCGGUGGCGUUAGUAGUAGCAGCAGUGGUAGCAGC
rnacentral:lncRNA from 1 species